rnacentral:misc_RNA from 1 species
GAAAUGCGAUACUUGGUGUGAAUUGCGCGUGCGUGCACGCAAAGGGUCGUCGAUGGGUCCAGAACUGACCGGCUCGCACGUGAUUGGUCUCGAGCGUGGCUCAUCCACCAUUUUAUCACGGCGAAGUCGGCCAUGAACCCAGAUUUCAACCAA